GAUGAACGCUGGCGGCGUGCCUAAUACAUGCAAGUCGAGCGAACAGACGAGGAGCUUGCUCCUCUGACGUUAGCGGCGGACGGGUGAGUAACACGUGGAUAACCUACCUAUAAGACUGGGAUAACUUCGGGAAACCGUAGCUAAUACCGGAUAACAUGUUGAACCGCAUGGUUCAACAGUGAAAGACGGUCUUGCUGUCACUUAUAGCUGGAUCCGCGCCGCAUUAGCUAGUUGGUAAGGUAACGGCUUACCAAGGCAACGAUGCGUAGCCGACCUGAGAGGGUGAUCGGCCACACUGGAACUGAGACACGGUCCAGACUCCUACGGGAGGCAGCAGUAGGGAAUCUUCCGCAAUGGGCGAAAGCCUGACGGAGCAACGCCGCGUGAGUGAAGAAGGUCUUCGGAUCGUAAAACUCUGUUAUUAGGGAAGAACAAAUGUGUAAGUAACUAUGCACGUCUUGACGGUACCUAAACAGAAAGCCACGGCUAACUACGUG
rnacentral:rRNA from 1 species